GGGGAGGAGGCUCGCGGCCGCCCGGCGCCCUAGGCCGCAGCCGCCCUCGCCGCCGGCCGGGCCGGGUGGAGGUCUGCGCGGCUCCCGCGGGCUGUGCCCCCAGUUCCCCGCGGGCCGGGCCAGUCACCUCUUCUCCGACUCCAGAGGAAAGAAACAAGAAGGAAUGAGUCACUGCUGCCUCCAGAAAGUAGUAGUUUGUUUACAACGACCAACAGCAGCAGCCCCCUGAAGGGACCGGCUGCAGCCGGGGUUGCUAGGACCCCGACGUCUACAUUCGUGCCGGUGAAUGACGUUGCACCAAGGCUGGACCUCCAAAAAUGAGCCCCAGAGAGUUCCCAGACCGUUGGAAGAGGUUAAAAAGCCCUCCACCGAACUGAGGAGUGUUUCUUCUCAGAGGUGUCAACUGGAUUCAGAGUUCCCUGCGGCGCUCUGGAUCAGACAAGAAGUGAGUUAGUAUUCAACCAAUAGAGACCAUUGUGCUAAUAGGUCUUUCCUGAAAAUCCAAUACUUUGGCCACCUCAUGCGAAGAGUUGACUCAUUGGAAAAGACUCUGAUACUAGGAGGGAUUGGGGGCAGGAAGAGAAGGGGACGACAGGAUGAGAUGGCUGGAUGGCAUCACUGACUCGAUGGACAUGAGUUUGAGUGAACUCUGGGAGUUGGUGAUGGACAGGGAGGCCUGGCGUGCUGCGAUUCAUGGGGUCGCAAAGAGUCGGACACGACUGAGCAACUGAACUGAACUAGGGUCAGC
ensembl:lncRNA